rnacentral:rRNA from 1 species
GAUGAACGCUGGCGGCGUGCCUAAUACAUGCAAGUCGAGCGAACGGACGAGAAGCUUGCUUCUCUGAUGUUAGCGGCGGACGGGUGAGUAACACGUGGAUAACCUACCUAUAAGACUGGUAUAACUUCGGGAAACCGGAGCUAAUACCGGAUGAUAUUUUGAACCGCAUGGUUCAAAAGUGAAAGACGGUCUUGCUGUCACUUAUAGAUGGAUCCGCGCUGCAUUAGCUAGUUGGUAAGGUAACGGCUUACCAAGGCAACGAUGCAUAGCCGACCUGAGAGGGUGAUCGGCCACACUGGAACUGAGACACGGUCCAGACUCCUACGGGAGGCAGCAGUAGGGAAUCUUCCGCAAUGGGCGAAAGCCUGACGGAGCAACGCCGCGUGAGUGAUGAAGGUCUUCGGAUCGUAAAACUCUGUUAUUAGGGAAGAACAUAUGUGUAAGUAACUGUGCACAUCUUGACGGUACCUAAUCAGAAAGCCACGGCUAACUACGUG